rnacentral:rRNA from 1 species
GAUGAAUGCUGGCGGCGUGCCUAACACAUGCAAGUCGAGCGGCAGCGCAGGUAGUUUACUACCUGGCGGCGAGCGGCGGACGGCUGAGUAACGCGUGGGAACAUGCCCCAAAGUGGGGAAUAACUGCCCGAAAGGGUAGCUAAUGCCGCAUAUGAUCUUCGGAUUAAAGCCUUCGGGCGCUUUGGGAGUGGCCUGCGUACGAUUAGAUUGUUGGUGAGGUAAUGGCUCACCAAGUCGACGAUCGUUAACUGGUCUGAGAGGAUGAUCAGUCAGACUGGAACUGAGACACGGUCCAGACUCCUACGGGAGGCAGCAGUGGGGAAUAUUGCACAAUGGGCGCAAGCCUGAUGCAGCAACGCCGCGUGAGGGACGACGGCCUUCGGGUUGUAAACCUCUUUUAGCAGGGAAGAAGCGAAAGUGACGGUACCUGCAGAAAAAGCACCGGCUAACUACGUGCCAGCCGCCGCGGUAAGA